rnacentral:rRNA from 1 species
UACGAAGGGGGCUAGGCGUUGCUCGGAAUCACUGGGCGUUAAAGCGCACGUAGGCGGACUCUUAAGUCGGUGGUGAAAUCCUGGAGCUCAACUCCAGAACUGCCUUCGAUACUGAGAGUCUCGAGUCCGGGAGAGGUGAGUGGAACUGCGAGUGUAGAGGUGAAAUUCGUAGAUAUUCGCAAGAACACCAGUGGCGAAGGCGGCUCACUGGCCCGGUACUGACGCUGAGGUGCGAAAGCGUGGGGAGCAAACAGGG